AACCUAUCCUGGUCUCUGACGUCAGGACGCAAUCCCCCACGUAGUAAAAUGUGGAGAGCUCGGGCAAACGCUUUUUUGCGAGGUCGAGGCUCAAUACGGAGGUCUGCAUGCAGCGUUUCAAUCGCGGACAAGGAAAUGGGACUCCAGCGCGAUGCCCGGGAUGAAGAUUGCGCGAUUUAAUGAACAGAUUCCAAUCAAGGCUUGAUAAAACACAAGCGGGGAUGCAUCUACUUAACCCCACGCAAAGCAACGUGACCCAGAACCUAGUUCCCAACACUCGUCUUGCAGUGGCUCUUCAGAGCACAGAAGCGCCUUUACUGUGUUCCAAGCACUCUCUUUCUGGCUCCUGGAUUCGCCUGUUCUUUCCAUUUGCAGGGGAGUAAACCAAUCUUGUUUUUUUGUUCUCUUGCUUCGACGCUGGGUCUGCAUUACUAGGUGGCAACUAUAGCAGACUCUCGUUUGGUCUUAAUGCUUUCUGCCGUUUCUCUAUAGCUCCAACGCUUUUGAUGCAAGCGUGUGGUACCUAAGCGACCAUCAAGGAUGCAGAUGUAUAUAUAUUUUUUGUUCGUCCCCUCUAUCAUCCUCGUGCCAGCGCAACACUUGGGCACGGGUGAUUCUACCACCAGAUUCUGGAACGGUGACACAGGCGCCAGCUGUGCUCCAGCAUUCUCAACAAAAAUGUAUUAGAACUGAACGCAUAAGGAAAGCUAUUCUGUAGAUUCGGCUCUGCGUUGUUUGUUGUUGUUGUUGUUGUUGUUGUUGUUGUCGCAGCUGCUGUUUUUUGUAGUUUCUUUUGUUUUUCCGGUGCACUAAAAAAAAAAAAAAAAAAAAAAAAAAAGUUUGGAUAUCGCUGUCACAAAUAAAAACCCUAAAAUAAAAUUUUGAAAAAAGAUCCACGAAAACGAGACAGCGCUCGUAAUUGCCAGACUCCAGAGCUGCGCUGAAUAGGCAACAGCUGCCGAAGGGAAGCACCGUCUUGGCGGGAUGAGGACGUCAUUCACCCGAGGGUUCGUGAGGAAAAAAACCCAACCUCCAAAGCACAGACAAGCGGUCGUUUUAACAAGACAACUCUGACAAGAAGCGCAAUGAGUUCCACCAGAGGUUGGGAGAGAACCACCCUGCACCCUAGGACUUGGAUAGAUGGGCCCUGAAGGGCCACAAACAAGCCAGCCCAAGCUUGAGGAAUCCUUGGGGAUGUGGGGAUGGCUUCUGUUACAGACAAUUAGCAGUUCAAAGCGGUAGCCACUAUAGAGGAGGAAGAUGAGGAGGAGGAGGAGGAGGAGGAGGAUACAGCUGAACCCAGCUGCUCAUUGCCACAGGCUCUUCAUCCCUCACCAUCUCCCUGAGAAGACAGGGCUACGUACAUGCUCGGCCCCGGAGUGGGUAGGCAGGCUCCAGAGCCCCGCGGCUCCCCAUAUAUACAAGCCUCCUCAGCGAAAUCAAUACGCAGAAUACACAGCAGGGUCACACCACUCAGCCCUCAACGCCUCACACAGGGAGCCCACAGCACACGCACUGGAGCAGUCAGGUCCAGACUAUACAGGGCAGCAACACAACCUCGGCUUGCAGGGGUGCACUGUUGAGUUUUGCCGAUGGGAGUGGAGACGUUCUACUUUCUAACCUGUAGAUCAUCUCUAAAAGUUACAUACAUACAUAAAAAAAACACAAGAAGCCUUUAGCUUCAGCACAGAAGAAGCAGUUUUGAGAAUGGCAGAUCACAAUAAAGAAACAAAAGUCCAAUGUAACACGUACACAUGUACACAGCACACAACGACUGCCAUGCUGCGCCAUUACAGCGCUACAGAGGUGGGAAGCCAACACAUGCACGUCCAUGAAAAUCACAGACCUCACUCCAGUGCCAGAGCCAUCAGACUUUCACUUUCCUUCAAUGUGACAGUCUGGCAUUUCAGGGGGGUACAUCUGUCCAUUCCUACCAACCAACAUUUAAGUUAUUUGAUUAAAUCAGUGCAGACUCUGGGACACCCAAAAAAUAAAAAAACAGGACUCUUCUUACCUCUAAAAAUAAGAUGCAGCAGUUCCUCUAAUUCAGAGCAGAGCUGUUGGAUUUGCGAUGGGAUCAACUGCACUAGUUCCCUAACUUGAAACACUUGAUAAAGUGACUGCUGGGGUGAACGGAGUUAUCUUUCUCCAGGAAGACACAGCCACAUUCCCAGCCUUGGCUAUCCAAGGAUUGAUCCAGCACCCUGUGAACAUCACCAGCAAAGUGAUCGGACCUGGAACUGGUUUGACUGGAUCGGAAUGUCCUCUUUCAAAACGGUAAUAAAACACUGCCCAGAUGUGCAGAAUAUAAACACGCUGACAGGAUGAAAUAGAACACGAAAGCUCCACGUUCCUAGCUCUAGAACCCCCCACUGCGCAGCGCUAGCAUGGGCACUGAGAGGGUGAGAUAUCAAGACAUGCCAACAUCAGCAGGAGUAGGUCUGGAAAUGUGUUGGGACUGAUUGAAGACCUGGGCAGCAAUAGGUGAGGUUUUCUGCACAGGUGCUCCUGCUGUCGAUUAAGAUGAAGUCAUCGUCUGUUUAUAACGGGAGUGUAAGUAUUCACAGGUGAGUUUCACAUGAUCUGUGUGCUAUUUAAACAUAUUUCACAAGGAAAAAAAAAUCAGCUUAAAUAUGAAUUGUGUAUUUCUUUUGUAUCCAUCAUACUGAUCUUAAUAACCUAUUUUAUAAGAUUUAGUCACGUGUUUGUUUCAGCUGCAGUGUUUGCUAUUGUGUUAUAACCCUGGUUUAAGUUUCAUUUAGGGUAAUGGCAUUUUAAAAAGUUCCAUUUUGCUCUUUGUUAUCCCUCAAGCAAAGUUAAGGUGUUUUUGCAUGUA